UACGGGGGGAGCAAGCGUUGUUCGGAUUUACUGGGCGUAAAGGGCGCGUAGGCGGCCGGCCAAGUCGGGGGUGAAAGCCUGUGGCUCAACCACAGAAUGGCCCUCGAUACUGGACGGCUCGAGACCGGAAGAGGUUGGUGGAAUUGCGAGUGUAGAGGUGAAAUUCGUAGAUAUUCGCAAGAACACCGGUGGCGAAGGCGGCCAACUGGUCCGGAUCUGACGCUGAGGCGCGAAAGCGUGGGGAGCAAACAGG
rnacentral:rRNA from 1 species